rnacentral:tRNA from 1 species
GCAGUCGUGGCCGAGUGGUUAAGGCGAUAGUCUUGAAAACCAUUGGGUUUUUCCCGCGCAGGUUCAAACCUAGCCGACUGCU